ensembl:snoRNA small nucleolar RNA SNORA17
CCUGUCCCUAGAGGCAUUAGGUGUGGCUGCUGUGUUACAUAUCCAUCUGUAGGUGUCAAAGAGAGGCUAUGUGCUAUACCCAGGGUUCUGAUCUACGAACAUCCGAAUGAUUAGUAGUCUAACCGUU